UACGUAGGGUGCAAGCGUUGUCCGGAAUUAUUGGGCGUAAAGAGCUCGUAGGCGGUUUGUUGCGUCGGCUGUGAAAUCCCGAGGCUCAACCUUGGGUCUGCAGUCGAUACGAGCAAACUAGAGUGUUGCAGGGGAGACUGGAAUUCCUGGUGUAGCGGUGAAAUGCGCAGAUAUCAGGAGGAACACCGGUGGCGAAGGCGGGUCUCUGGGCAACAACUGACGCUGAGGAGCGAAAGCGUGGGGAGCAAACAGG
rnacentral:rRNA from 1 species